rnacentral:rRNA from 2 species
UUGGUUUCGGAUGAGCCCGCGUUGGAUUAGCUUGUUGGUAGGGUAAUGGCCUACCAAGGCGACGAUCCAUAGCUGGUCUGAGAGGAUGAUCAGCCACACUGGGACUGAGACACGGCCCAGACUCCUACGGGAGGCAGCAGUGGGGAAUAUUGGACAAUGGGCGCAAGCCUGAUCCAGCCAUGCCGCGUGAGUGAUGAAGGCCUUAGGGUUGUAAAGCUCUUUCACCGGUGAAGAUAAUGACGGUAACCGGAGAAGAAGCCCCGGCUAACUUCGUGCCAGCAGCCGCGGUAAUACGAAGGGGGCUAGCGUUGUUCGGAUUUACUGGGCGUAAAGCGCACGCAGGCGGAUAUUUAAGUCAGAGGUGAAAUCCCGGGGCUCAACCCUGGAAUUGCCUUUGAUACUGGGUAUCUGGAGUACAGAAGAGGUAAGUGGAAUUCCGAGUGUAGAGGUGAAAUUCGUAGAUAUUCGGAGGAACACCAGUGGCGAAGGCGGCUUAC